GCGCGGCCCCUCUGGCCAGAGAAGUUCGUAGCCUUUGUGAGGCCCGGCGUGGGAGGUGCCAGCCUCGAGGGCCAAGCCGGUUCGGGACGGAGCGAAGCCUUUCAGAGGAGCCCCCCGAGGGGAGGCGGGAAGGAGGACCACGAGGCCUCGGGGCUUCCAGCUCCUCCGCGCGGAGAGGGCUGCGCUGGGGGGAGAGCUGAACCUUCGCGGCCGGGAGGAGGUGGUGACCAUGGAGACAGAUAUGGCCGAAAUGCCUGGGAAGAGCGCUCUGUCUUCCCAGGAUACUCCCUUUUCCCAAGAAAAGAGCACAGAAGAGGGAGAAGUGGCAGCUUUGCGCCUCACAGCCAGAUCGCAGGUGAGUGAGCCUCUGCUGGUUAUUGAAAUUCCACCUUAUUUCUCGGAGUGCAGGCGCACUCCCUUCUUUUUGAUGUGGAGUUUCUGUGUCCACCAGAGCUGAAUUCUAACUCUGAGAGACGACUCGAGUGACUAAAGGGCUCAGUGGAAAAUGUUUUCUGCUUCUUCGUGGUAUCUUGUCCGUCUAGUAUUUAUUAUCACUCAGCAGGUGUGGAAGGAGCAUUGCCCUUUAGCCCAUUAGCUAAUUUCUGUGCUUGUUAUUUGGGAAAUGAUUUUAAAAGACAAUGUGGUGCA